UACGGAGGGGGCUAGCGUUGUUCGGAAUUACUGGGCGUGAAGCGCGCGUAGGCGGACCUGCAAGUCGGGGGUGAAAGCCCGAGGCUCAACCUCGGAACUGCCUUCGAUACUGCGGGUCUCGAGUCCGGGAGAGGUGAGUGGAAUUCCUAGUGUAGAGGUGAAAUUCGUAGAUAUUAGGAAGAACACCAGUGGCGAAGGCGGCUCACUGGCCCGGUACUGACGCUGAGGCGCGAAAGCGUGGGGAGCAAACAGG
rnacentral:rRNA from 1 species